rnacentral:rRNA from 1 species
GAUGAACGCUGGCGGCGUGCCUAAUACAUGCAAGUCGAACGGAAAGGCCCUGCUCUUGUGGGGUGCUCGUGUGGCGAACGGGUGAGUAACACGCGUGUAACCUGUCCUUGACUUUGGGAUAACUCCAGGAAACAGCGGCUAUAACCGGAUAGGAGCUUCCGCCGCAUGGUGGGGGUUGGUAAGUUUUGGCGGUUGUGGAUGGACUCGCGGCUUAUCAGCUUGUUGGUGGGGUAGUGGCUUACCAAGGCUUUGACGGAUAGCCGGCCUGAGAGGGUGAACGGCCACAAUGGGACUAAGGUACGGCCCAGACUGCUACGGGAGGCAGAGGUGGGGAGUAUUGCAGAGUGGGCGCAAGCGUGAUGCAGCGACGCCGGGUUCGUGAUGACGUCCUUCGGGUUGUAAACCACUUUCGACUGAGACGAAGCGUGAGUGACGGUACUGGAUAAAGAAGCACCGGCUAACUACGUG